GAUAUUCAGCAAAUGCAACGUGACAUUGAGUUUAGGAGUAUGCUUUGUUUCUCAAUUUGUUUUUUAGGAAGACUUGAAUGAACAAGUUACAAUAUUAUCUUGGUAAGACGGUUAUGUGGUUGCACUUGGUUUAACAAUUUUUUUUUUGGUGGUGUUGUUUCAAAUACUUAGUUUAACAAGGAUCUACCUUCCGCAUUGCGCAAUAAAAGUUAUGUUUGGGAGCUAUCACUAAACAAAUGACUGCAAUAGAAGAAAUAGUUGCAAGUGAGUACAAUUAGCCAGACCCUCAUCUUUGUGACAAGAUCUUGAAGUUGGUCAUUUGUGAAGCGUUCUAGUUUACUAUUAGUUGCAGUUUUAGUUAUUGCUCUCUCAAUAUAUUCUUUUUCUUUCUUUCUUUUUUUUUUUUCCCAAAGGAUGAUCAGUGUAAUAAUUAAACUUCAUAAUUUCUUUGUGUUUGGAGCAAGUUGUAUAUAAAUGUACACAUUAUUAAGAUUUUAUUUUGUAUAUGUACAAGUAAAAGAUUUCAUUUUUAA